AAAAACUAUGUUAUUAACUACUAUUCCAGUUUAUUUUAAUCAUCAAAUCUGUACAAAAAUAGAGGCGUAAAAAUAGCAAUUCACUCUUUCACUCUUUUGGCUGUAAACAGUGAUUUCCUGCAGGUAUUUAGAGCCAAGAAAUAAUGCAACACUUAAACCCUUUUGACACAUCAAAAUGCCAUUUUUACAUUUAAGUUUUUGUUUAAACAACAAAGAUUUCCUAUUAGUAAGCUGCAGCGUUGUAGGCUUAUUUUGUUACAUUUGGACAAUAUUAGAGAUUACGGAAAGGGUGGUACGACCAUGCACUUAAAAUAGAGAUGUACCACGCUUCUUACUUGUGUGCGAUCUCUGCGGUGCUUAAGAUAUUUCGACCAAUCAGAAGCGAACGCUGCUAGGCGACCAAUCAGCGUUUGCCUACCAACGUUCGCUAGCGUGUGUCGUCACGGUCGUCAUUGACCAUGACUUCCUGUGGGAAAGCAGAGCGGUGGAGAAAUGCUGUCAAAGAAAGGAGUGAAAAUAUGGAAUAAGACCAAAGUUUGAGUGGUCGCUUUGUUGUAUUGGUUUGUAAGCACUGUUAGAGACUUACUUACUGAAGAAGUUUAGACACUAAAACAAAUUUAAGACCUGUUUUGUCGAACUCGAGUGAGCGUGGACGCUGAACACACCUGCAGCGUGAAGGACUCAAGCUUUAACCAGGAAACACUUGAUGGGAGAGCAGACUGACAUUAAGAUUAAAAGAAGGACUCAAAAGCCAGCAAAUACUUCAGUUUGUAAAGAAGAGACAGACAUGAAGACAUCUACAGAAGGUCCAGACCUUCAUUUGUGCUGCUGAUGUCCUCCUCUUCUCCUGCAGAGACAGAACAUGUUAAUUAGGUCUUAUUUAUUUUUUGAUAGUAAUAUAGAUUGCUUCUGUAGUUACAAUUUACUUCUUGAUUACAUUUAAUUAAUUUACUGAUUAUUAUUAAUACAGAUCAAAGAUUAUAUUUACAUUAUUAGUUUACAUGUAUGAUCCUGUUAUAAUUUUAUAUAUCUAUUAUGUAUUCUAUUGUAAAAGCUUAGUUUUAGAUCACUUUUGCAAAUUACUACAUUACUGUUAUUAUUUAAGACUAAUUUUGAAGAAACAAUUACUUCUAUUGUUAGAAAUUACUGUUACAUUAUAU